rnacentral:rRNA from 1 species
CCUAGGGAUGAGCUCGCGUCUGAUUAGCUAGUUGGUAAGGUAAAGGCUUACCAAGGCAACGAUCAGUAGCUGGUCUGAGAGGAUGAUCAGCCACACUGGGACUGAGACACGGCCCAGACUCCUACGGGAGGCAGCAGUGGGGAAUUUUCCGCAAUGGGCGAAAGCCUGACGGAGCAAGACCGCGUGGGGGAGGAAAGCCUUUGGGUUGUAAACCCCUUUUCUCAGGGAAGAAGAAAGUGACGGUACCUGAGGAAUCAGCCUCGGCUAACUCCGUGCCAGCAGCCGCGGUAAUACGGAGGAGGCAAGCGUUAUCCGGAAUGAUUGGGCGUAAAGCGUCCGCAGGUGGCUGUUCAAGUCUGCUGUUAAAUCCAGUAGCUUAACUACUGACAAGCAGUGGAAACUGAAGAGCUAGAGUGCGGUAGGGGCAGAGGGAAUUCCUGGUGUAGCGGUGAAAUGCGUAGAGAUCAGGAAGAACACCGGUGGCGAAAGCG